UGCUACUUUGGAAUGUAGCUCUGUAUUGUAGUGCUUGGCAAAGGUUUCCUAAAGUAAUCCUUUGUCCAUGUGGUUAUAUCAGCUAUUGAUGAAUGGUGGUUCUUGAUGCAACAGGUGUGUUGAG